AUGCAGCUCCGGCUCCGGCUCCCUACGCUGAUGGUGCAUCCCCGCCUUACGGCGCCUUCCUGCUGGCCCCGGCUGCCUAUGCUGAGGCACCAACGACGGCGCACCAUGCACCUGCACUGGGGAAGCAUCACCACGAUGCCAAGUCCCCGGCCGAGCCACCGGCAUUCCGCAACGCGUCUGAGCACGGGAAGCGUCACCACCAUGAUAGCUCGCCGGUGGAGGCACCGGCGCCAUACCACAGCAAUGCGUCCGAGCACAAGCACCAUGGUCACCUCGGCCACGGCAAUGCAUCUGAGCAUAAGCACCACGGUCACCUCGGGCACUACCACCAGCACCACGAAGCUCCACCCCCGGCUCACAGUGCACCACCGCCUCACUUGCCGCCUCCUGCUUAUCACUCACCACCGCCGCCUGCUCACCAUUUGUCACCCCCUGCUCACCCUUCGCCGCCGCCCCCGGCACACCACUUGCCACCCCCUGCUCACNNNNNNNNNNNNNNNNNNNNNNNNNNNNNNNNNNNNNNNNNNAACCAUUCGCCGCCGCCCCCGGCUCACCACUCGCCGCCACCCCCUGCUCACCAUUCGCCGUCGCCCCCGGCACACCACUUGCCACCUCCGCCUCCAUCCCAUUAUCCACCGCAUGUUCCGACACCUCCGGGCCAUAAGCACCCAACACCACCCCUGGCUCAUCAUGGUAAAGCACCGCCACCACCGCCACGCCGCCAUGGGAAAUUCCCGCCACCACCUCGAUCAGGGUACUCGGCGGCGGCACCAUCGCCAUCUUACUACGGUGCGGAUGCACCAUAUACCAACUAAGCCAAGCUUGGCGAGCCUCAGUAUCACGGUGUGUCAUCACGUUCCAAACCGAGUGUCGCCCCCGUGGUAUCUAUGGUGGAAGGGCCAAGCAUGUAACUGA
rnacentral:rRNA from 1 species